rnacentral:sRNA from 1 species
GCAGCUUGGUAGCGCAACUGGUUUGGGACCAGUGGGUCGGAGGUUCGAGCCGAGCGAAGCGAGACAACGUUGCGUCAGCAACGGCCCGCAGGGCGCUUCUCGCAGAGAAGCGUAAUCCUCUCUCGCCGACCA